rnacentral:rRNA from 1 species
UACGAAGGGGGCUAGCGUUGCUCGGAAUCACUGGGCGUAAAGAGCUCGUAGGCGGUCUGUUGCGUCCGCUGUGAAAACUCGGGGCUUAACCCCGAGCCUGCAGUGGAUACGGGCAGACUAGAGGUAGGUAGGGGAGAAUGGAAUUCCCGGUGUAGCGGUGAAAUGCGCAGAUAUCAGGAAGAACACCCGUGGCGAAGGCGGUUCUCUGGGACGGUACUGACGCUGAGACGCGAAAGCGUGGGGAGCGAACAGG